UUUCACUCAAAGGGGCAGGUUUGAGGUUGUAGCCGUGCUGCCAUGAACAUGGAUAGCUUUUGGUCAGCUUGGACAGUGGGUUAAUCGUGCUCGCUUCUGUCUGCAGUGAAAUUAGCUAUUUUGAAGAAUCACAAGCCAGGAAAUUCAACAGCGGGAAGGAGAGAGAGAGGGCAUUGCGGAGUCGUUGCAGAAGGACUGAUAUCUGCUGCUUGCUGAGGUUGUUUUUCAGCUGGAUCCGAUUUCUCCAGCCUACCUGACCGCACGGACACAAAAGCAACAGCAGGGACACAGUGAUUCAUGGCCAGGACCAAACCAUUGGAAAAGACGGCUGGAUGGGGCAGUGACUGGCUGGAGCAGAUCUGCCAUCAAAUGCCAGACCACAGCUUCGGACCAGGCAGUAUCUUGGAAAUGUUCUGUCUUUUGAUUUAACAUGCAAAAACCUGCAAGGUAGAAAUUAUGCCAAUUCACACACUGGAUUUCUGGAAAGGAGUCCCUGUUGUAAAGAGCUUUGCUCAUGGAGUCAAAGGAGCAGAUACACAUAGCUUUGGCUCUCCAUUACCUUUUUCCAGCAAAGAAUCAAUAUGGGUGCUGCGGAUUUUCAAAGAAAAAUGAUAACCCCGUGGCAACUGGCUGCUUGUAAAAAUAUUUUAUGGUGGUUCCUGCCUUGCUUGACUACAAUGAAUGAGUUGGUUCUUGCCUUGCUUGACUAUUAUGAGUAAGGAAGAGAUCUAUCCGCCAUAACCUAUUAAUUGGGAAAUUGCCCAGAGCUGCUGGCAGGCUCCCAGUCUGGUCCCCUCAUCCCAUCCCCUCGUCCCAGAGCUGCGUUACGGCCUUAGAGCUGUGAGGAAAACCUGAGAUCUCCUUAUUCCCAGGCCACGCCAGAAAUCACAAACUGGGAUUGUUUAAAACAAAAUCUAAAUAUUAAAUGAAAGCAAACCAUAAAAAUGGCUCUUUCCCACUUUGUACAGAAGACUGCAGAGGACUUUAAAGGGGUCAUUCACAGAUGGCAUGAUCACCACGUGGCAAAAUAAACCAAAAUAUCAGAGGUCCCUAUCCCUAUCUUGUUUGGGAAAACAAGAAAAAAGGAAGGGGCAGUAAACCAACGGAAAAUCUUGUUGACAUAAUACAAGGCAAGCUGUCCAGAAAACUAAGUGUUACUCCCGAGACACUAAUCACUAAAGAUGUUCAUGGACAUUUCAUAUACUCCUAUCCAAGGAAUCUCUAUAUUUUUCAAACAAUCUCUGUUGAGACAUGUCACAACUAUCAAUAGAAUACAGGACUUAAAAUGAGUCCAUGAGGCUGGACUCCACAGAUGAGAAGCUGCUGGGCAGAGAAGUCCAUGGCCCCAAGACAACCCAUAAAGCAUUCCUCUUGCACUGGAAUAGGUGGGAGCUGGAACAAACACUGUCCUCACACCAUCCCCGAGGGAGCAUGCUUACGUGCAUCACCCACGCAGUGUAAUUUCCUCCUCCUCAUUAGCUUCCCACGUUAUGAGACGACAGAAGUGUCCAUGCGGACAGGCACGUGGAGGUGUUGAUAUCUCCAUGCCAGAGAUUCAAAACUCAAGUUGAGAAGGCUUUGAGCAACCUUCCUUCUCUGGACCCCUUUGAGAGGGAGCCUGGACCAGACGACUUCUGGAGAUCCCUUCCAGCUGCUUUGUCCUCCCGGGGACGGAAGUGCAGCACGUAGGAAGCCAGGAGGAAAUAACUUCUCUGCAGCUGCAUUGGAUGUCCUUCUGUGUUACCCAUUCACCAAAUCAAAAGUGGUGGUUACUUGCGGAAGAGCUUGUGAGCAGCUGUCUCUCUUUUCUUUUGGCAGUGCAUUGUGUUGAACUGUUCUGAUGGACGAGACUACAAAGCCAUGGGGAAAUUCUUCAAAGGUCUGGCACGAUCUGGAGCCUUGGUGUGCUUUGAUGAAUUUAAUCGUAUAGAGCUGGAGGUAAUUGUAGUACCAGUUUCUUAGCAAAGUUGGUAUUCAACGAAAGUGACAAGCUUGACAACUUCAUUAACAGUACGGACAUUAAACAACAUUGACUGAAGCUUACUGUUACAUAAAAAAAAAUAUACAAUUUUAGUACAUUUUAAUCAAACUCAACCGGUUGUCUAUGCCAAAUCUGUCCCUGUGAUUUUUGAAUGGUUGCUGCAUUCUCUACUGUAAAUGUAGCCAGAGAAAUAUUGCUGUUGCAACCUUCUGAGCACAGUGACAGAGGGAGGUUUGUGGGGAGACGUUGUAUUUUGUUCAUGAUAGAUUAGUGGCGAGAUUUCUCUUCCGCACUGGUAUGCAACCUGCCACUCACUGUGUUUUGAAAGACAGGAGUUAACUUUCAUCUACAGAAAGCUCACAGCCAGGGACAGAGACUGCUUUAAUACCGCAUUUAUUACCUUGUUGGGGAGGGGGGGGAAACAAAAAACAAAAAGCAACCCUGCAAAGAGGGAUCUGCAACAAAUGAGAGCUUCGGGUUUGGGUUUUUUUUUCUGUUAUUCAGAAUAAGAUUUAAGAAGGUAAUUUAUUAUGCUUGCACAAAGCAUAAUUAAGUGUCCGUAUAGGGAAGUACUGCAUAACCUAUUUUCUUGUAUAAACUGAGGUGAUCUGGUUGAUCUUUUGUAGCUCCUACAUUUUUCUGAUUUUUUUUUUCUUUCUUUUUAAAUCACAGCUACUGGCAGCCCUUGGUAGAAGGUAUUGACAUUGAAUUAGGUUAUAACCAUUCAUUUAAAUUUCUGCUUCUGAGGUAGCCCAGAAACAGGCUUUAAAAAUACAAUAUGCUUGCUCUAUUUUCCAUUAUCUUGUAUUAGAUCAUUAGAGAUACAUAGCUAUUUCUGGAAGAUGCUAUGUCUUUAGCACUUUCAUUCAUUUAGCAGGUUAUCAUUUGAUGCAUAGGGAAUUUUCCAAUGCAUUCGGCAAUUUAUUAGCUUAAGGGUGUGAUGGAUUUUGUGUUUUCUUUACAUUUAGUAGCACAUUAAACCAUCGGUUUAAAGUUUAAAAACAAAUGUACCAGUGUUUUCAAACCAAAAGUGUGUCGAAGACCGUGCUUUGCACUUCCCUUCGAUGCUUUUUGUAGUUGCUCAGGAAAUGUUGACCCUUCGGACAUGGGGUCUGAGCAGGUGCAGGUGCAGGAAGAUACGUCUGGGCUCACCCGCCGCUACGUUCAUUAUCUGCAAUUUGGGUGGGCUGGCAGAGUGGGGCUGUCAAACAAUCCAAAAGGAACAAUAGUAUAACGACUUUGCUAGGGUGGACAGAAUUAUAGGAUCAUUUCUUCCUUAUGACUGUUUGCUCCUCUGCUAGACAGAAAGAUUUUCUCACUAGAUUGCAGUACCAUGAAGUGCAACUGUACCUGCAUUGGUUCUUUUUCUAAAAAAAAAAGGGCAGCGUGCACUCCUUUUUGUAUUAGAGUGCAGCAUACACCAAGUAAAUGCCUGAGUGAAAUCUCUUUUGUCUUUUACGCUUUUUUCCUUUGCCCACUGACAGGAGAUCCCUCAAGACCAGCACUAAGCUCCUCUUCAUUAGAACCCAGUUUUCAAUUUAAAUUUUAAUUAGAAUGGAUGACUAGGAUACUUACCAUUCGCUGUAAUUUCUGCAUGCCGCUAAUCAACAACCAGAAGAAUACUUCUUGUUUUUAUUUCUAAAAAAUAAGUUCCUUUUCUGUAAAAGGUUUGUUGCUGGCAAUUAAAAUUAUUUUAGCUCAUCCCAUACAGUUUCAUUUUUCAAUGGAAUUCAUGCUUGCAAAGGGAUAUUCUUUUUUCAUUUCUUUUAAUGUAAGGUCACCAGAACCUGGAUUCUUACAUUAAUUUAGGGCUAG